GAUGAACGCUGGCGGCGUGCCUAAUACAUGCAAGUCGAGCGAACAGGCGAGGAGCUUGCUCCUCUGACGUUAGCGGCGGACGGGUGAGUAACACGUGGAUAACCUACCUAUAAGACUGGGAUAACUUCGGGAAACCGGAGCUAAUACCGGAUAAUAUAUUGAACCGCAUGGUUCAAUAGUGAAAGACGGUUUUGCUGUCACUUAUAGAUGGAUCCGCGCCGCAUUAGCUAGUUGGUAAGGUAACGGCUUACCAAGGCAACGAUGCGUAGCCGACCUGAGAGGGUGAUCGGCCACACUGGAACUGAGACACGGUCCAGACUCCUACGGGAGGCAGCAGUAGGGAAUCUUCCGCAAUGGGCGAAAGCCUGACGGAGCAACGCCGCGUGAGUGAUAAAGGUCUUCGGAUCGUAAAACUCUGUUAUUAGGGAAGAACAAAUGUGUAAGUAACUAUGCACGUCUUGACGGUACCUAAUCAGAAAGCCACGGCUAACUACGUG
rnacentral:rRNA from 1 species